CAGACCCUCCCACCCAUCACUCGUCCCAUCCCCCCAUCCUUCCCCUCCCUUGCUCUCUGUUGCAUUAAUAGCAGAGAUGGCAUUAAAGUAACUUUAUCUCCUUGGUGCACACAUACACAAACUCAAUGGCGGGUAGUGUUAUGAGGCUUAUUGCCGAGUGCGUAAUGACUGCUUCUUUUUUGGAUGAAUGAAUUCAGUGGAUGACAGGCUAAGCUAAUUACACUGGCAUGGAAGCAGAGCCCACGGGAGAGAGAUUGCCCAGCCUUUCUCCAGACGCCGUGUGAGGAAAGCCAUGCAAACCCUCCAGCUUUGCCCAUCCAGGACAGCAUGGCCUCAGGUGAGUAGGAGAGGCAGCAGGGUGCUUUCUGGUGGUGCAGACACAGGCUCUGCUGCUUCAGGUGAGCCUCAUGAAAUCCCACUUGCAGGGGAAAGUUCUGCAAAACAAGAGCUGGGGCUUGGAGAGACUGCAGCUGGCAGCCAUGGGAAUAUUUAGACCUCUGUCUUCCGUCAGGGUGAGUUUAGGCACUAGACUUGAGAAAGCAGAGAAAAGCUGACAAUGUGUACCAUGGUGCCUUGGGGUUUGGUACUGCAC
rnacentral:lncRNA from 1 species